rnacentral:tRNA from 1 species
UAUUAAUUACUUUGGCAGAAUAGUGUGAUGAAUUUAGAAUUCAUUUAUGUAAUUUUUUUUUACAGGUAAUA